UACGAAGGGGGCUAGCGUUGCUCGGAUUGACUGGGCGUAAAGGGCGCGUAGGCGGUUUGUACAGUCAGACGUGAAAUUCCUGGGCGCAACCUGGGGGCUGCGUUUGAUACGUGCGAGCUUGAGUUCGGAAGAGGGUCGUGGAAUUCCCAGUGUAGAGGUGAAAUUCGUAGAUAUUGGGAAGAACACCGGUGGCGAAGGCGGCGACCUGGUCCUUGACUGACGCUGAGGCGCGAAAGCGUGGGGAGCAAACAGG
rnacentral:rRNA from 1 species